GGCCUCGUAGCUCAUCUGGUUAGAGCAUUGGCUGUACUAAAGCCUUCCCCUUGCUGGCGUGGGUUCGAAUCCCACCGAGGCCG
rnacentral:tRNA from 1 species